rnacentral:lncRNA from 1 species
CCUAUAUAAAACCCACUGAUUCAAUUAAUCAAAAUUUGCGUUGGUAGGGUGCACUAAAGGAAAAAUCGCUCCCUACUAGGGAUUUCUUUAUUCCCAUAGCUCGAACUCGAAAUUUCUAUUUAAGAAUGAAGGGACUUUAUUUAUCCCAUCACAUCUCUUAAUGGGUUUGAUACCUAAUAAAUUUUCGUUAAUUAGACAUGCAUUGCUGGCCAGGCUCUUAAAUCCGGUCCAAGAUGUCCUUCUGCAUUCAUUUCUUCAGUAGUUUGCAAUCGUUCGGCCGAGAGACCUUCAUGAAGAAUUGAAUACUUUCUAAAUGUUUUUUUUCUCUUCCAUCCCUUCCUUCAACAUGCACCUUCAUUUCAUUUAAAACUAGUUUUUCAGCACACGUAUUGCGCGGACACUUUAUAUUAAUAAGUAUAAUUUUUUUAAACAAUCACAUAAAUAUAAUAUUAAAAGUUGUAUUUGAAUUAUAAAAUAAAAGUUAAAAACGAAAGUUUGCAAGUACAGUAAAAUAAUAAUUGUUGCUUCUUAUUUAUCCAGCCUAAUAAAGGAAGAAACUCUAAUUGAUAUGACCUUAAUCAUCUCAAUCGAUAUUUUCAACUUAAAAUUAUUUAAGCUUUUGUAUGAAUUUUCUUGAAAAACUAUUUAUUCAUAAACACACAAAGGGUCAGCUAGCUGAAAUAUAUCUUCUUCUUUUUUCUCACAAGCAAAAUGCGCAAAAUGCAAAUUGUCCUAGUUUUUUAAUCUAUAAGAAAUUAUUUCCACAUAUUAAAGAAUAAAGCAUUAUCACAAAGUAAAAUUAACUGUUACCUCUUGAUUAGUAUACUCUUUUUACAUUUUGAGGAGAGUUUUCUUUCUCUGUCUAACCACACAACUACAUAUUUGAAUAUUGUAUUUUUACGGGGGCAAAAGACUAUGAUUAUUAUUGAAUUUCUUUCAAUUGAUGAAUUUUAAAAGAACUGUAUUAGUAUUAUCUGAGAAGAAGUGAAAAUAUGAAAAAUAUGUUAACUUCAUAUUUCAAUUUAUUCUUUCAACUAAUUCCCAUAAAUGUUUAAGUUUUCAUGUGUGUCUAUAUAUAAUUAAUUACUAUUUAAAUUUGGACUUUUUAAAAAUAAGUUUAGUUCAAUGCAAAAAAGUAUCUUAAGUAUUUAUAUUUUCUAAAGAUAUUUUUAAGAGAAAUAUAUUACAAAAAUACUCUGACUAUUUCUUUUCUAUUUUUUUCUUUCAUAUUAUAUUUCUUUUACUAUUUUAUGUUCACUUAAAACAACAAGUGCUUUACUAUUAUCUAGAUUUCUGCAUUAAAAUAUAAUAUAAUAGCUUGCUAAUCAAUUCACGUUUAAAUUAGUUUUUAAAAUUUUAUUGUGGUUUCUUUAAUUAAGGAUCACUCAUAUAUACUAAAUUGCAGUUCACUUAUAGACACCUUUGUGAAAUUAUACGUUGAGUUUCUCUCUUUGUAAUAACUUAACUUUAUCUUUUAAUAAAGUACAUUUCAUUUGUAAAACAAUAAACAAAUAUAGUUACAAAAACUAUCCUACAGUAAAAAUUGUCUAAUAAAAAUAUACUAUAUAUUAAUUAAGGUGUUUAAUUUUAUCAUGCCUAUACCCUUAAAAAUGCUGGAAAUUGAGCAUAUGUUUCAAAAGUUUGUAACUUUUUCAUAACCUUUUUAUAAUUUGUGUAUUUUCAGUCGUAAAUAUAUUUAACUCUAAAUGACAAUUUUGAUCUUUAAUAAAUGCAUAAAAAAUUAUCCCACGUCAAUCAUUAUUUUCUCUCUUUUUUAAUCUCCAAAAUAAACUAAGGAAAGAAAUUAAACCAAAAAUUUAAUAUUAUGAUAAUAGAUACUAAGCAAAAUCAAUAUAUAUGUAAGGCAACAGAAAAUAUGAGUUUUAUUAUCAUGAAAUGUAAAGUACUCAACAAUAAUAAUACAAAGCUACUAACACGCAAAAAAGAGAGAAGAAUUUGCAUGUUGUAUACGGAGGAAAUUAACUUACCGAUCGAAUAAAAAUAUUGGAUGCGUGAUGAACUCCUUCAUUUAUUUGCUUUCUUAUCUCCAUAUUUUUAAGAGAAGAAGUCAAAAGAUAAGGAGUGAAAAGAAGAAAAGGACAAUCUAAAUAAAAAAUAUUAUUGCACACACUUGAUUGUUGACUUAGUUUUCU